UACUGAGCAAGUCGCCUGGCCCCCUCCUGGUGUCGGACCUGGCACAGUCUGCCCUAAGGUGGUUUAGGCGGCCACGUGGCCGCCUAAACCACCUUAGGGCAGACUGUGCCAGGUCCGACACCAGGAGGGGGCCAGGCGACUUGCUCAGUAUGCC